ACGAACGCUGGCGGCGUGCCUAAGCUUAUGCAAGUCGAACGCGAACGGCUCCUUCGGGAGCCUAGUAGAGUGGCAAACGGGUGAGUAACGCGUGGGUAACGUACCCUGAUCCUGGGAAUAACCCUCGGAAACGAGGGCUAAUACCGAAUGUGGCGAACGACCGGUUGGUCGCUCGCUAAAGGUGGCCUCUUCUAUGCUGCCGGGUUGGGAUCGGCCCGCGUCCCAUUAGCUAGUUGGUGAGGUAACGGCUCACCAAGGCCACGAUGGGUAGCCGGCCUGAGAGGGUGUACGGCCACACUGGCACUGAGACAAUGGCCAGUCCCCUAUGGGAGGCGCAGGCGGGAAUAGUUCACAAUGGGCGAAAGCCUGAUGACGCGACGCCGCGUGAGCGAAGAAGACCUUCGGGUUGUAAAGCUCUGUCAGGAGGGAAGAAGGCUCUACGGGUUAAUAGCCCGUGGAAUUGACGGUACCUCCAGAGGAAGCCCCGGCUAAAUACGUGCCAGCAGCCGCGGUAAUACGUAUGGGGCAAGCGUUGUCCGGAUUUACUGGGCGUAAAGGGCGCGUAGGCGGUUUGUUAAGUCGAAGGUGAAAUCCUCGGGCUCAACUCGAGAAUUGCCUUCGAUACUGGCAAACUAGAGUGGCGGAGAGGAAAGCGGAACUCUUGGUGUAACGGUGGAAUGUGUAGAUAUCAAGAGGAACACCGGUGGCGAAGGCGGCUUUCUGGACGCACACUGACGCUCAGGCGCGAAGGCGUGGGUAGCAAACAGGAUUAGAUACCCUGGUAGUCCACGCCAUAAACGAUGGGUACUAGGUGUCGGGGGUAUCGACCCCUCCG
rnacentral:rRNA from 1 species